GAUGAACGCUGGCGGCGUGCCUAAUACAUGCAAGUCGAGCGAACAGAUGAGGAGCUUGCUCCUCUGACGUUAGCGGCGGACGGGUGAGUAACACGUGGAUAACCUACCUAUAAGACUGGGAUAACUUCGGGAAACCGGAGCUAAUACCGGAUCAUAUAUUGAACCGCAUGGUUCAAUAGUGAAAGACGGUUUUGCUGUCAUUUAUAGAUGGAUCCGCGCCGCAUUAGCUGGUUGGUAAGGUAACGGCUUACCAAGGCAACGAUGCGUAGCCGACCUGCGAGGGGGAACGGCGACACGGGAAGUGAGACACGGCCCUGACACUUAGGGGAGGCACAGGUUGGGAAGCGACGGAGAUGGGGGAAAGCCUGACGGAUCAGCGCAGGGCGGAUGAUGAAGGGCUGCGUGUCGGAAGACGGUGUUAGGGGUGUAGAACAAAUGUGGAAGGAGCUAUGCACGUGUUGACGGUACCUAAACAGAAAGCAACGGCUAACUACGUG
rnacentral:rRNA from 1 species